GGCCUAGAAUUACCUAGCCUCGGAGUGUCAUUCGGUGACUCAUAAUCCCUUGGUCGUAGGUUCGAGUCCUACUGGGCCCACCA
rnacentral:tRNA from 1 species